UCUUGGCCGCGUCCCUCUCUCUCUGCCGUCGCCGGAAGCACAGUGUCCGGCCACCACCUCUCGUCACUGCUACCACCAGUCGAACCACAAUCCAAAUCCGACCACACGAACUAGGAAUAAAAGGGUUAGAAAACCCUAUAAACCCCAAAACUAUCCCCUCUCCCUCUCUCUCUCUCUCUCUCUCUCUCUCUCGUCCUCCCUCUCUGUCAUCGCCGGAAACACAGUGUCUGGCCACCACCUCUCGUCGUUGCUACCACCAGUCGAUCCACAAUCCAAAUCCGACCCCCAAGAGAAAUUACAACCAUUCAUUAGCUCCAACCUCCACACUCGAUUUCCAAACAUGCAAAAUCACUGCUCGUCAUCUUUCUUUGAUUUUCGGUCGUUUAUUUAGCUCACUGUCACCACCAACGAGCUCGGGGCAAGCCGAUUGUCAAAGCUCAGAAGCCUCACCACCGACCCGACAUCGGAGGAACCCGUAAGCGCGAUCACCAGAGCUCAAAGGUCUGGGUUUCAGCUUCUCCAAUAUCCAGCUCAAAGCAAGCUAAACCACCUUCAGAAAUGGAAUCAAUACUUCAAAAACCUCCAACCCUCAAAACCCCAAAGUCCGGCGCUACCUCGAGACUUCACACGCGCCGCUGUUCGCGGGUGAAAGUUUGUACCUCUGCCGCCCACAACAGCCGGUCUCUCAGACUGGCUUAACUAGGAAUUGAGGUUUGUGAAAGCUAGAAGAUUGAUGCUUUGGAGGAGAAAAGAGCUACUAGGUCAGUUUCGAUUGAAAAUCGAUUAAGGAAUCUGAAUGGUUGACAAUGGUGGGAUGCAGAUACGCUGAAUUAGCUUCUAAUUUGGAAAAGAAGAAUUGGUAAGGGUCUGAGUUUUAAAUCUGCUGCUUGUGAAACUAUUGUGGUUGAAAUAUGUUGUUUGAUUGAUGAAUGAGUGUGGUUAAUGUGUGAAAUUAUUUGUACCAGAUAUGCAACUCGAUUAAGUUUUGGUAUUGUGAUUCACGAUUGAAAUUGUAGAGAUGGGUAAUAAGUGUGAC